UCUCCCAUAGCCCCUAUUCUCAGCUUCUCCCACUAUGAGCAUCCCAAACUGCAAUGGUAGAUUUGUUACACUCGGUGACUCUACAGUGAUGUGCCAUUAUCUCUCAAAGUCCAAGUUUAAACUCAGGUUCACUCUUGGUGUUGUACAUUCUAUGGGUUUUGACAAAUGUAUAAGGACAUGUAUCCACCGUAAUAUUAUCAUAUGGAAUACCUUCACUGCCCUAAAUAUCCUCUGUACUUUGCCCAUUUAUCCCUCUUUCUCCUCCAACUCCUGGCAGCCUGUCAUCUUUUAGAGCUGUGUCUCCAGCCCAGGCCUGUCCUCUGAGUGCCGCCUGCCAACAUCUCCACGCAGAUGCCUCUUAUGCACCUCAAGCUCUUGCUUUCUUCAAAUCUGUUCCCCGCCACCGACUUCCCCAAACCUCCUCAGCCAUGAAAGAAUCAUCUGACCUUCCUCUGAAGAAGGCCCUCAUUCCAGGGGUGCCCAGCCUGUACCCAGAGGAGAGGAAUGUCCUUAUGUCUGGAGACACAGGGAUACAGAGAGGAAUAUGAGCAAACAGGCCUUGCUAAGUUCUCUCAGUUUAUUGCCAUUAGAUCACAUCCCCUUUGUCCAGUCAUACUGCUGCAUGACUGUCCACUCCAUCAAAACUAAGCAUGAAAAGACACGGGGUUCCCUGUUCCUUUGGGUCUUCAUCUGUGGAUGCUUCCAUGCCGCGUAAAAUAUAUUCAAUAAAUGUGUAUGCUUUUCUCUUGUUACUCCAUC
rnacentral:lncRNA from 1 species